rnacentral:rRNA from 1 species
UUAAAUGAGAGUUUGAUCCUGGCUCAGGACGAACGCUGGCGGCGUGCCUAAUACAUGCAAGUAGAACGCUGACUACUUUAGCUUGCUAGAGUAGAAGGAGUUGCGAACGGGUGAGUAACGCGUAGGUAACCUGCCUACUAGCGGGGGAUAACUAUUGGAAACGAUAGCUAAUACCGCAUAACAGUGUUUAACACAUGUUAGAUGCUUGAAAGAUGCAAUUGCAUCACUAGUAGAUGGACCUGCGUUGUAUUAGCUAGUUGGUGGGGUAACGGCCCACCAAGGCGACGAUACAUAGCCGACCUGAGAGGGUGAUCGGCCACACUGGGACUGAGACACGGCCCAGACUCCUACGGGAGGCAGCAGUAGGGAAUCUUCGGCAAUGGGGGCAACCCUGACCGAGCAACGCCGCGUGAGUGAAGAAGGUUUUCGGAUCGUAAAGCUCUGUUGUAAGAGAAGAACGUGUGUGAGAGUGGAAAGUUCACACAGUGACGGUAACUUACCAGAAAGGGACGGCUAACUACGUGCCAGCAGCCGCGGUAAUACGUAGGUCCCGAGCGUUGUCCGGAUUUAUUGGGCGUAAAGCGAGCGCAGGCGGUUUAAUAAGUCUGAAGUUAAAGGCAGUGGCUUAACCAUUGUUCGCUUUGGAAACUGUUAAACUUGAGUGCAGAAGGGGAGAGUGGAAUUCCAUGUGUAGCGGUGAAAUGCGUAGAUAUAUGGAGGAACACCGGUGGCGAAAGCGGCUCUCUGGUCUGUAACUGACGCUGAGGCUCGAAAGCGUGGGGAGCAAACAGGAUUAGAUACCCUGGUAGUCCACGCCGUAAACGAUGAGUGCUAGGUGUUAGGCCCUUUCCGGGGCUUAGUGCCGCAGCUAACGCAUUAAGCACUCCGCCUGGGGAGUACGACCGCAAGGUUGAAACUCAAAGGAAUUGACGGGGGCCCGCACAAGCGGUGGAGCAUGUGGUUUAAUUC